UACAGAGGUGGCAAGCGUUGUUCGGAAUUACUGGGCGUAAAGGGCGCGUAGGCGGCCUACUAAGUCAGACGUGAAAUCCCCCGGCUUAACCUGGGAACUGCGUCUGAUACUGGAAGGCUUGAGUAUGGGAGAGGGAUGUAGAAUUCCAGGUGUAGCGGUGAAAUGCGUAGAUAUCUGGAGGAAUACCGGUGGCGAAGGCAGGUCUCUGGGCAUUAACUGACGCUGAGGAGCGAAAGCAUGGGGAGCGAACAGG
rnacentral:rRNA from 1 species